rnacentral:rRNA from 1 species
GACGAACGCUGGCGGCGUGCUUAACACAUGCAAGUCGAACGGAAUCCAAGAGAGCUUGCUCUCUGAAGAUUUAGUGGCGAACGGGUGAGUAACACGUGAGCAACCUACCUCAGAGUGGGGGAUAACCCAGGGAAACUUGGGCUAAUACCGCAUACCUUCACGAGACCGCAUGGUCAUGUGAAGAAAGAUUUAUCGCUUUGAGACGGGCUCGCGGCCUAUCAGCUUGUUGGUGAGGUAAUGGCUCACCAAGGCAUCGACGGGUAGCUGGUCUGAGAGGACGAUCAGCCACACUGGGACUGAGACACGGCCCAGACUCCUACGGGAGGCAGCAGUGGGGAAUCUUGCGCAAUGGGCGAAAGCCUGACGCAGCAACGCCGCGUGCGGGAUGAAGGCCCUAGGGUCGUAAACCGCUUUCGACAGGGAAGAAAAUGACGGUACCUGUAGAAGAAGCCCCGGCCAACUACGUG